ensembl:snRNA U1 U1 spliceosomal RNA
AUACUUACCUGGCAGGGAGAUACUAUGAUCACAAGGUGGUUUUCCCACCGUGAGGUUUAUCCAUUGCACUCCAUAUGUGCUGACCUCUGCAAUUUCCUCAAAUGUGGGAAACUCGGUAGCAUAAUUUGUGGUACUGGGGGACUGUGUUCACACUCUCACCAU